rnacentral:rRNA from 1 species
CCAGCAGCUGCGGUAAUUCCAGCUCCAAUAGCGUAUAUUUAAGUUGUUGCAGUUAAAAAGCUCGUAGUUGGAUUUCGGGCGGGUGACGGCGGUCCGCCUCUGGUGUGCACUGCUGCUCAUCCGCCUUACUGUCGGGGACGGGCUCCUGGGCUUCACUGUCCGGGACCCGGGUUCGACAUGGUUACUUUGAGUAAAUUAGAGUGUUCAAAGCAGGCGUUCGCCCUGAAUACAUUAGCAUGGAAUAGCACGAUAGGACUCUGGCCUAUUCUGCUGGUCUGUAGGACCGGAGUAAUGAUUAAGAGGGACAGUCGGGGGCAUUCGUAUUUAAUAGCUAGAGGUGAAAUUCAAGGACUUAUGAAAGACGGACUUCUGCGAAAGCAUCUGCCAAGGAUGUUUUCAUUGAUCAAGAACGAAAGU